rnacentral:rRNA from 1 species
UAAUACGAGGGGUGCAAGCGUUAAUCGGAAUUACUGGGCGUAAAGCGUUCGUAGGCGGUUAUUUAAGCAAGAUGUGAAAGCCCAGGGCUCAACCUUGGAACUGCAUUUUGAACUGGGUAACUAGAGUACCGUAGAGGGUGGUGGAAUUUCCAGUGUAGCGGUGAAAUGCGUAGAGAUUGGAAGGAACAUCAGUGGCGAAGGCGGCCACCUGGACAGGUACUGACGCUGAGGAACGAAAGCGUGGGGAGCGAACAGGAUUAGAUACCCUGGUAGUCCACGCCGUAAACGAUGUCAACUAGCCGUUUGUGGACUUGAUCCGUGAGUGGCGCAGCUAACGCACUAAGUUGACCGCCUGGGGAGUACGGCCGCAAGGUUA